rnacentral:ncRNA from 1 species
ACCCGCUAUGCGUCCGAGGUCCCGAAAGGGUCGGAGGUUUAUUGUUAGACCUGAGAGCGCUAAGGCGGGUUU